ensembl:miRNA
AGUGGCCGCAGCUGUGGUGCAUUGUAGUUGCAUUGCAUGUGUGAGAACAGGUGUGCAAUGCCCCUGCAGUGCAGCCCAGAUGGGGCUUCUU